rnacentral:lncRNA from 1 species
AGUGUGCAAAUUCUGGAUUAAGGGCCAAAUUCAGAACUGGUGUAAACAGAUGCAACUUUACUGACUUGGAUGGAAUUAUAUCAGUUUACACUAGGGUUAAAUUUGGCCUGGACACUCUAGCAUCUAUGGUGAGAUCAGUCCUGUAAGAAACCCACAGGAAGACCUAAUCCUUGUUCCCAAGGGAGAAGCCGGAGCUGCUUAAUCAGUACCAUUUUGAUACUGCAUGUGGUCUCAGGGAAAGGACUCCAUAGAAGAAUUAGUGCAACAACCCUACUAGAGAUGAAAAAAUACAUUAAAAGAUAAUUCUUCUGUGUUAUACAGGGCAGAUUGUGAACCCCUUACUCGCAAUGGUGAGCAGUACAAUUAGUCCCAUUAAGACCCAAAAGGAACUGUUUGGCACUCCUGAAAAUUCAUCU